CUACAGCUUUCAUCAAAUCAACUUACAAUUUAGACGAUCGUCAUCACAACAAAAUGGAGAUCUAAAGUUAUUGAAGGAUUAAGUUUUAGCAAAACCGUCUGACCGUGGUGUGGCCUCAAAGUUUGAUUAAACGCCAUCAAAACACGGGCUCCUGUAUCUUGGACAUAUUUUGUCCAAUCGAGUCCAAACUAUACACAUAAGACAAGAGUCGCGACCUGAAGACAUCGGUACAGAAAUCGUGACUUAAAAUCACAGCGUCCCCUGGUGGCAACAGCAAAUGUCUUGUUUUUCUAUGUGUUACAGUUUGAUUCACUACUCGUAGGGCCUUCAUUAAAUCAACGUAAAAAUUUGAUGCAUGUGUUCAAAACAAGAUGAAGAUCUAAAGUUAACGAAAUUGCAACUUUUCAUAAUACUGUGUGACCGUGGUGUGGCUUCCAGUUUGAGGUAUGAAAACAUCUAUAUCUGGCAGAUGUGCUGCAAUAUUUAGUCACUAGAUGGCAGUGUCAGACCAUGCUUUGUGUUAUCUAUGCAUUAACAGACUGUGUUUACAGGGUGGCCAACUUUAGAGGAGAAUUAAACCUUUUACAGCAUUGCUCAAACUUUGGUUUUAGUCUCAAUCGCUAAGUUCUUCCUUCAUGACAACUCUGAGGGGGGUAAAUUUGUUUUUAACUUCCUUGUUUAAGCGAUAUAGAUGUUUGAAAUUCACGUGACGCCACAGUGUAAGCUGUGCUGUGUGUUGUGAGUUCGGCUUUAACCAGGUACAAGUGAACGCCUCAUGAAAUGGCUUACACCCACAUACCCAGUAAAUUACACACUUUGAUGUUCUGCUCCUUCUCCUGACGGUCACGGUAACGAUGUCUGCGCCUCCGUUUCUGUGGAUGUCCAGCGUAAGACACAACUUGAAUCCAACCAGACUGAACACUGACUCCAGGGACGGACGAGCCUGAAGGACACAGCUGUGAUGACCAUGUUCUGUCUCUUAUGACAAAGCAGAAAUAUAAAACACUGGGUUCUUAUCUAAAGUGUAUCAAAUCAGAUCUCCACCAUGUUGCUGCUGAGGACAUCAGGUGCUGCAGUUCUUCAUCUAUGAAGAUGAAAAAACUCACUGUUAAAGAAUGUUUUGUGUUGUGUAUGAAGCACAACAGAUUUCAGAUAGAACCGUUGUACUGUGGUCUGGGUUUGUAUCCUAAUGGUUAAAUGCACAUAUUUUAAGUCGCUUUUGAUAAAAGUACUGAAAGAAAUACAACAUUGUAAAAAUAGAUAAAAUGUCUUUCUACCUCAUCUGUAAUAUUCAAGGUGAUAAUCUCCCACAGAGCUAUUGAUAACAGUCCACAUCAAGUCUCUCCACUUCCCUCGGUGUGAAAACAUAAUUAUAUAAUUAAUUUGAGAACUGUUUACAACACUUAUGUGUGGAGAUUAUACUCAUAUCUAAACUGUCAUAUUCACUGUAAAACUCCAUGACAGGCUAAAUAAACGCGGUGGGAAUAGUAAUGGUGGAUAUAAUAUAUUGUAACUUUACUAGAACAGACAGUGUUCAUAGAGAAUUUGAAAAUGAUGUACACUACCUAUUUCCUAAGAUGAAAUGAUUAUGAUCUGAUUAUUUUUAUGUUUCCUCUCAUUUUAUUAGGGACGGACGAGCCUGAAGGACACAGCUGUGAUGACCAAUUGACCAUGUUUUGUCUCUUAUGGCAAAGCAGAAAUAUUAAACACUGGGUUCUUAUCUAAAGUGUAUCAAAUCAGAAAGCAAAAGAUACACAUUGUUGUAAUAAGUUUCUAUUAUUUUAACCAACAAUAAUAAAGAUAGAAAUGAAUUGUUAUCCAUGACAUGAGCAAUGACUGUUACCACUAAACAGUUGCAGGCCAUCUUUAUUUAAGGGAGGAAUUUAGAAGUGUUGUGUAGCUUCUGAUGAUGAUGCAGUCGUCCACGUGUUGACCACCAUGUUGCUGCUGACGACGUCAGGUGCUGCAGUUCCUCAUCUAUGAAGAGAAGAAACGCACUGUUAAAGAAUGUUUUGAGUUGUGUAUGAAGCACAACAGAUUUCAGAUAGAACCGUUGUACUGUGGUCUGGGUUUGUAUCCUAAUGGUUAAAUGCACAUAUUUUAAGUCGCUUUUGAUAAAAGUACUGAAAGAAAUACAACAUUGUAAAAAUAGAUAAAAUGUCUUUCUACCUCAUCUGUAAUAUUCAAGGUGAUAAUCUCCCACAGAGCUAUUGAUAACAGUCCACAUCAAGUCUCUCCACUUCCCUCGGUUUGAAAACAUAAUUAUAUAAUUAAUUUGAGAACUGUUUACAACACUGAUGUGUGGAGAUUAUAAUCAUAUCUAAACUGUCAUAUUCACUUUAAAACUCCAUGACAGGCUAAAUAAACGCGGUGGGAAUAGUAAUGGUGGAUAUACCAGCCUUCAACAGAAUAAUGGUGAAACAUAGUUACUAUCACAUGCAACUUACACGUGUAGCAUAUUGAUAUUAACUUAUUAUAAUAAAACAUAAAGUCUCAACCAAACAUACGACCCUGCAGCUAACUUGCUUCAAUCUGUUCAUUAGACGUGUUAAAUAAACGGUAACUUUUAUAACAGUUUUAUAUUAAAAAAGCCUUGCGGCAUGUAAGCAUAUGAUGAUAGAUAAAGCAAUAGGUUUUGUUGUAGUAUAGUUUCAAGGUUACUUACCUCUAGUUCAUAGAGCCUCCUGCUGGCUACAGUAAGUGAAGCGAUAGUCCUUGCCGCAGUGCCCAAACGCAUGCAACGCAGAGACGAGCGCUUCUCAUUGAACGUUCUCUCUUCACCGACCGCAACAGACUUGAA